rnacentral:rRNA from 1 species
UUUUGGACAAUGGGGGCAACCCUGAUCCAGCAAUGCCGCGUGAGUGAAGAAGGCCUUCGGGUUGUAAAGCUCUUUUGUCAGGGAAGAAACAGCAGCUCUAACACAGUCUGCGAAUGACGGCACCUGAAGAAUAAGCACUGGCUAACUACGUGCCAGCAGCCGCGGUAAUACGUAGGGUGCGAGCGUUAAUCGGAAUUACUGGGCGUAAAGCGUGCGCAGGCGGUUAUACAAGACAGGCGUGAAAUCCCCGGGCUUAACCUGGGAAUGGCGCCUGUGACUGUAUAGCUAGAGUGUGUCAGAGGGGGGUAGAAUUCCACGUGUAGCAGUGAAAUGCGUAGAUAUGUGGAGGAAUACCAAUGGCGAAGGCAGCCCCCUGGGAUAACACUGACGCUCAUGCACGAA